rfam:Oryza glumipatula chromosome 10, whole genome shotgun sequence.
AAAGAUCGCAGUUUUGCACUGUUUAUGUCCAACGUUUGAGUGUCCAUCUUAUUUGAAAUUUUUUAUGAUUAGUAUUUUUAUUGUUAUUAGAUAAUAAAACAUGAGUAGUACUUUAUGUGUGUCUAAUUAUUAUUUUUUUUAUUUUUUUUUCAAAUAAGACAGAUGGUCAAACGUUGGACAUGGAAAUUCACAAAUGCACUUAAA